rnacentral:rRNA from 1 species
UACGUAGGGGGCAAGCGUUAUCCGGAUUUACUGGGUGUAAAGGGAGCGUAGACGGCUUGAUAAGUCUGAAGUGAAAGGCCAAGGCUUAACCAUGGAACUGCUUUGGAAACUAUGAAGCUAGAGUGCUGGAGAGGUAAGCGGAAUUCCUAGUGUAGCGGUGAAAUGCGUAGAUAUUAGGAGGAACACCAGUGGCGAAGGCGGCUUACUGGACAGAAACUGACGUUGAGGCUCGAAAGCGUGGGGAGCAAACAGGAUUAGAUACCCUGGUAGU